UCCGGUUUGGCACCGGCAGUCUCUCUAGAGUUCCCGGCAUUACCUGCUGGCAACUAGGGAUAGGGGUUGCGCUCGUUGCGCCACUUAAGGCAACACCUCACGACACGAGCUGACGACAGCCAUGCACCACCUGUAUACCGACCACAAGGGGGGCCGUAUCUCUACGGCUUUCCGGUAUAUGUCAAGCCCAGGUAAGGUUCUUCGCGUUGCGUCGAAUUAAACCACACGCUCCGCUGCUUGUGCGGGCCCCCGUCAAUUCCUUUGAGUUUUAGCCUUGCGGCCGUAGUCCCCAGGCGGAGCACUUAUCGCGUUGGCUUCGGCACCGAGGGGGUCGAUACCCCCGACACCUAGUGCUCAUCGUUUACGGCGUGGACUAC
rnacentral:misc_RNA from 1 species